AAAAUUAAUUUUAAAAAUUUCAGAAAAUCCUUUUAAAAAUACAUUUUAUAUAGUGGUGGAUCUAGUAAAGAAAUUUAUUAAAUAUAUUUUCA
rnacentral:miRNA from 1 species